rnacentral:rRNA from 1 species
GGAUUAGAUACCCUGGUAGUCCUAGCUGUAAACGAUGGAUACUAGACGUAGGAACUGGAUUGACGGUUUCUGUGUCGCAGCUAACGCAUUAAGCAUUCCGCCUGGGGAGUACGGACGCAAGUUUAAAACUCAAAGGAAUUGACGGGGGCCCGCACAAGCGGUGGAGUAUGUGGUUUAAUUCGACGCAACGCGCAGAACCUUACCCAGUCUUGACAUGCCCUGAAAAACCUAGAGAUAGGUCCUUUUCUUCGGAAACAGGUGCACAGGUGCUGCAUGGCUGUCGUCAGCUCGUGUUG